rnacentral:rRNA from 1 species
AUUGAACGCUGGCGGCAGGCCUAACACAUGCAAGUCGAACGAGUGGCGGACGGGUGAGUAAUGUCUGGGAAACUGCCCGAUGGAGGGGGAUAACUACUGGAAACGGUAGCUAAUACCGCAUACCAUCGGAUGUGCCCAGGUGGGAUUAGCUAGUAGGUGGGGUAAAGGCUCACCUAGCGGACUACGCCUAGCUGGUCUGAGAGGAUGACCAGCCACAGUGGAACUGAAACCGGGUCCAGACUCCUACGGGAGGCAGCAGUGGGGAAUAUUGCACAGUGGGCGCAAACCUGAUGCAGCCAUGCCGCGUGUAUGAAGAAGGCCUUCGGGUUGUAAAGUGCUUUCGGCAGGGAGGCGUUACCCGCAGAAGAAGCACAGGCUAACUCCGUGCCAGCAGCCGCGGUGAAUC